GUCCCCGUAGUUCAACGGAUAGAACAAGGGUUUCCUAAACCUUAGAUCCAGGUUCGAUUCCUGGCGGGGAUACCA
rnacentral:tRNA from 1 species